rnacentral:rRNA from 1 species
UACGUAGGGUGCGAGCGUUGUCCGGAAUUAUUGGGCGUAAAGAGCUCGUAGGCGGUGUGUCACGUCGGCCGUGAAAACCUGGGGCUUAACUCUGGGCGUGCGGUCGACACGGGCAUCACUAGAGUUCGGCAGGGGAGACUGGAAUUCCUGGUGUAGUGGUGAAAUGCGCAGAUAUCAGGAGGAACACCGGUGGCGAAGGCGGGUCUCUGGGCCGAUACUGACGCUGAGGAGCGAAAGCAUGGGUAGCGAACAGG